rnacentral:rRNA from 1 species
UACGUAGGGUGCGAGCGUUGUCCGGAAUUAUUGGGCGUAAAGAGCGUGUAGGCGGCCUGAAAGGUCAGCUGUGAAAACUCGAGGCUCAACCUCGAGACGUCGGUUGAAACCAUCUGGCUAGAGUCCGGAAGAGGAGAGUGGAAUUCCCGGUGUAGCGGUGAAAUGCGCAGAUAUCGGGAAGAACACCCGUGGCGAAGGCGGCUCUCUGGGACGGUACUGACGCUGAGACGCGAAAGCGUGGGGAGCAAACAGG